rnacentral:rRNA from 1 species
UUAGAGAAGAAUUUAAGGUUUAACCUGCCCAGUGAUUAAUUUUAACGGCCGCAGUAUUUUGACUGUGCAAAGGUAGCAUAAUCAUUAGUUUUUUAAUUAAAAGCUUGAAUGAAUGGUUGGACGAGAUAUAGACUGUCUUUAUUUUAUAAGUAGAAUUUAAUUUUUAAGUUAAAAAGCUUAAAUAAAAUUAAAAGACGAGAAGACCCUAUAGAUCUUUAUAUUUAUAUAUAUUUAAUUUAUAAGGAUUAAUAAUUUUUAAUUAUAUUUAAGUAUUUUAUUGGGGUAAUUGAAAGAUUUAUAAAAUUCUUUUUUUAUUAAAUAUUGAUAAAUAAAUUUAGUGAUCCAUUAUUAUUGAUUAUAAGAUUAAGUUACCUUAGGGAUAACAGCGUAAUUUUUUUUGAGAGUUCUUAUCGAUAAAAAAGUUUACGACCUCGAUGUUGGAUUAAAAUUAAUUUUAGGUGUAGAAGUUUAAAAUUUUAGUCUGUUCGACUAUUGAAAUUUUACAUGAUCUGAGUUCAAACCGGCGUAAGCCAGGUUGGUUUCUAUCUUUAUUUAAUUAUAAUAUUUUAGUACGAAAGGACCAUAUAUUUAAUAUAUAAUAUUUAUAUUUUUGAAUUAAAU